GUGUGCUCGCUUUGGCCCCACAUAUACUAAAAUUGGAACAAUACAGAGAAGAUUAACAUGGCCCCUGCACAAGGAUGACGCAAAUUCAUGAAGUGUUCCAAGAAAUU